UACGUAGGGGGCAAGCGUUGUCCGGAAUCAUUGGGCGUAAAGCGCGCGUAGGCGGCUCGGUAAGUCCGCUCUGAAAGUCCAGGGCUCAACCCUGGAAAGCGGGUGGAUACUGCCGGGCUAGAAUCCGGAAGAGGCGAGUGGAAUUCCGGGUGUAGCGGUGGAAUGCGUAGAGAUCCGGAAGAACACCAGUGGCGAAGGCGGCUCGCUGGGCAGUGGCUGACGCUGAGGCGCGACAGCGUGGGGAGCAAACAGG
rnacentral:rRNA from 1 species